UUGUAUGCUAACUAAGUCAAUUUUUUCUGUUCGAUUUAGCAAACUUAAAUGAAAGCAAUUCUAUAUACCGCUUGGCGCUUGCUCAGAAGUUAGAAGUGGAGUGUUGAUAUCCUUUGUACGAAAAGAGAAGCUAACAAGUAACAUGGUGGCCUAUAUGGCUAAGGCUAAAGAAGCAGUGGAACAGAAAGACGAAAGAGUUUAAGGAGUCGUUUGGUUCACUAUUUUUGGGUUUUAAGAAAUGGAAUCAAUCAUCGAUUUCCUUUCGAUUUGUUUGGUUCAACCCUUAAACAAUCCUUUACCAUUACUUGAUGCUAAUGGAUUCCCACAAUUUGUUACCUUACCCCCGCUCAAGUAACAAAAUCCAUUACUUCAAGUUAAUGGUUACCCUUGAUUUCCAUUCAUUGGAUUCAACCAGACACUCAACAAAGGCAUGUCAGCCUGUCAGGGAGGUGUUCUUGAAAGAUCUGCAAUAUGUGCCUAGUUCUUCUUAGGCGAGCUUGGGCCGAGCUUGGGGAGUAGAAAUUUGAAUAGGGUCAAUGGCUGAAUUAUUAGAUGGGUAGGGUAGGUCAAGUUAUUUUUUUUCCUCGACAUGGUUAAGUUGUUCGAGAUAACUUACACUUUAAUUUAACUUCCUUUCCCUCCAUAAGAAAAUAAAAGCAAUUUGGUUCAUUUUAGGUAAAAAAUGUUUGUAUGGAUUGGUCCAUAUUAAAUUAGUAUAAAUCUAAUGCUAAUUCAUGUGAUUUAUUAAAAAAAGACUAUUAUAUAAAAAAAAUAUUUAUUCCAUUUCGUUUUAAAUGCAACAAAAAGUAUUAUUUAUGAGAUAUAAAAUAUUUAUUUGUUAGAUUCAAAACGAAACAGAGAAUUUUAAAAGAUGAGUAGAUAUAGUUUGUGAAAUUUGACUAUGUAAAAAAGAGGGUACUAUAUUAUAAAGUGAGAAUUUUAUUAUGAUAAAUUAGUGUGAGAAAGAGUGAUUAUAUUUUUAAAAAAUAGUCACUAUGGUAGAUAUUAAUUACAUAAUAUAAAUUAAGAUUUUUAAAAGGUUACUAUAUGGAAAAAAAGUCAUUAUGUUAAAUAAGUGGAUUUGAUCAACAAUAAUAUUAUUCUGAAUCAUGUUCACGCAAGAUUAACUCUCAUUUUAGUGUAUUUAUGUUAAAUCCAAUUCAAUUUACUUCAAUUUUAGAUACUUAAAGAACAAUAAUGGAUAUGACAUGUCUACUUUAUCUUAUUAUUGUGUAUUUUAAAAAAAUUAAGAAAAGAUCUUCAUUAUUAGUAUAACAUAAAAAACAAAAGGUAUUAUUUUUUAUAUAUUAAAUUAUUAAUAAGAACAUGGUCAAAGCUUAUAUAAUUUUACCACUUAAGUUUCUCACUUAUUAAGGGGUUGUUUGGUAUAUAAAAAAAUAAUAUAGAUAAUAGAAGUUUCCACAAUUUCAGAUUUCGGUAGUUGUUUGGUUGACAGGAAUGCAGAAAAUGGGGAAAGUGAGCGCAAUGAAAAUUCAUGAGAAUUUGAAAUUCCUACAAAAUUUAGGAAUUAAUUAUACCUGCCCUUUUCUUUAUCACUCACAAUUCCUAUAUAAAUUCUUAUGAAUUACAACUUCUCUUAUAACUGUCAAAUAAUUUAGACUAAUUUCUAGAAAUUUCAUAAAAAUAUUUAUUUUCCACAUAUUAUAAAUUUCUAUGAGAAUUUUAUUCACAUCGUAACCAAGUACUAAAAGAACAGGUUGAGUGCAUUGUGCAUGUGAGUUGUGACUAUUAAGGGUGCAAGUUUUAGAAUUUAUAGUUGGGCUAAAGAAGUUGGGGCAAUAGAGUAUGGGGCCUGAAAGUUUUCUCGCUGCCGUGUGCUGGGUAGAUGUAAACUGCUACAGACUGCAUGUGAGCUUGAACAGAACAAUAGGAAGCAGAUUAUUGUCUUGUCGUGGGCUGCUACUAGAUUGGGUGUCGGUUACUUGUUGCUCGGCCUAUCAAGCAGCACGUGGAUAGUAAAUGACUAAAUGUGCAGCAUCAACAGAGAUGGGCUUCUACAUGAACGGGUACGUGGGUCUUAAGUGGACAGCAAUGGGCUUGCAAGCAUGUGUUGCCAGCAAGCUUUUAGCUUUGAUAAUGCAGAAUCUUGUCCAUUUUUUUAGUUUCGAAACCUUAUUAAGGGGCUACAACAAAAUUGUAACCAUUACAAUUACUUAAUUUCAUGUCAUCGUUUUAAGCGC